UUAUGAAAAAAAAAAGGGGGAGACAUCAAAUCCACAGACCUUUCUAUCUGCUUUUUUAAGCAAUGUUUUGUAUAUUGACUGAAAUGUCAUCAAGCCCUAAAAAUACAUCAUGUUAUGCAACUGCAACUUCUCACUUAACUUCAAGGCUCACU